GUCUCUGUAGUGCAAUGGAUAGCACAUCGGACUUCUAAUCCAAAGGUCAUGGGUUCGAAUCCCACCUGGGAUG